UCCCUGGUGGUCUAGUGGCUAGGAUUCGGCGCUUUCACCGCCGCGCCCCGGGUUCGAUUCCCGGCCAGGAAU
rnacentral:tRNA from 1 species